UACGAAGGGGGCUAGCGUUGUUCGGAAUUACUGGGCGUAAAGCGCGCGCAGGCGGUUUUUCAAGUCAGUGGUGAAAGCCCGGAGCUCAACUCCGGAAUUGCCAUUGAAACUGUAAAACUUGAGGAUGAGAGAGGUGAGUGGAAUUCCCAGUGUAGAGGUGAAAUUCGUAGAUAUUGGGAAGAACACCGGUGGCGAAGGCGGCUCACUGGCUCAUUUCUGACGCUCAGGCGCGACAGCGUGGGGAUCAAACAGGAUUAGAUACCCUGGUAGUCCACGCCGUAAACGAUGAAUGCUAGCCGUUGGGCAGCUUGCUGUUCAGUGGCGCAGCUAACGCAUUAAGCAUUCCGCCUGGGGAGUACGGCCGCAAGGUUGAAACUCAAAG
rnacentral:rRNA from 1 species